AAACUUUACAAUGCGGGAAACCGUGAUAAGGGGACACCGAGUGCUAGCAUCAUAUGCUGGCUGUCCAGGUGUACACCUGUAGCAAGGGCCGGCAAGACCGGUGCCAGCCGCCGCGGUAAUACCGGCGGCUCGAGUGGUGGCCGAUAUUAUUGAGUCUAAAGGGUCCGUAGCCGGCUUAGUUAGUCUUUUGGGAAAUCCAGCGGCUUAAUCGUUGGGCUCCAUGAGAUACUGCUUUGCUUGGGACUGGGAGAGGUAGGAGGUACUCAAGGGGUAGAGUGAAAUCCUGUAAUCUUUGGGGGACCACCGGUGGCGAAGGCGUCCUACCAGAACAGUCCGACGGUGAGGGACGAAAGCUGGGGGCACGAACCGGAUUAGAUACCCGGGUAGUCCCAGCCGUAAACGAUGCUCGCUAGGUGUCAGGUGGUGCC
rnacentral:rRNA from 1 species